GUAAGUAUGUACUUGUUGCUGUCUCCUAUCGAUAGAAUUAUUAUUUUUUUUUCUAUAGAUAGAAAAAUGUGAGUUGUUUUUUGUUUUUUUACGACAGUGUUGUGAAAUAUACUCCUCACAGCAGUAGGGGGAGCUCGCUGAGAAAACAUGCGACAACAAAAGUGAAAAUCAACGAAGAAAUGGCUCGAAAUGCUAACACCAGAUGACCUCAGAACAGAUGAUCCAGUGGCGUUGCAACAUCUGAUUGAAGGCCUAUUCUUGGGCAUCCAGCAGAAAAAGAGGAAUCUAUAUCGAGUAACCGACCGUAACAAACAGCGACACAAGAUCCGAAGAUGGAUUAGAGAGGAUAAGAAAAAGCUGUUUAAUGCCAUAUCCCAAUACAAUGAUCUUCCAACCACCACAGAAUCUGUAGAUUCAGUUGAAGACCUUCUGGCAACAGAAAGCCCUAUCUGGCCUUGGGAUUCUGAACCUGACACUUCCUUAGGCAUGAAGAAGAAGGUUUUUGACAAGGUGAUGUAGCUGGAGAGACUGAUUGAGGAAGAGGCUAUAAUUUUAGAGGAAAUGAAACAACAUUGGACUCAUCUUACAAGAACCUGCAGGGCCUUGAAGGACCAGGCUAAUGUACUAUCAGAUGACCUGGCCACACAGAACCUGGAGUUCGGGGUUAGAGGUUAUUUCCUGUAUAGAAGAAAGGAAGCUGACAGUAUGUGUGCACAUGUAAUCCAUCUGUUGUUAGCACUAGAAGCAAUGUCUUUUCACUCUGUCAUGUAAGAUGAUGUUGAAAGCCACAGUAAACAGCAAGAAAUCGCUCACUACGACUUGUCGUCAUUUUGCAUCAGAGUUAGCUGGCUGUAUAGCUACAGUUGCUACACUGCAACUACCCUUCAGGACUGUCUGGUCAAGCUUACCAUGGCCUGCACAGUGCUGUCCUCCAAAAAUGUGAGGAGCUCAAAACAGACCUGGUACCUGUGAAAGAAACCUACUCCCAAAUAGUGGUAAAUGGGAAUGGUGGAACUGUUGUUGAAGAAGAUGAAGACCCAUAUGAGCAUGUCUCCACAGAUGCCUCUACAGAUGAUGAAUUAUAGAUUCUCUCUUCUCCACUGCACAAACUGGUCUCCUGACUCUGAGUAGCUCAAGUUAGCUCUCCCCAUUGUAAAUAAUAAAAACUUGAACCUGAA
ensembl:lncRNA